GAGUUUCUGAUUCAAUAGGUCUGGAUUCAGUCUGAGACUCUGUAUGUCUAACCCAUUCCCAGGUUAUGCUAAUUGUACCGGUUCAGGGACCACAGUUUGAGAAAUACUCUUAAGAACCUCAAAGGUAUAAAACCAAACCUGGGCCUCUGCACUUUUCCUCCUCGCGCAGAUCACAUCUCUGGGUAUCAACUGCUUUGUGAGGAUGUGCACUAGAGGAAUCCGCCUAUCAGCACGUAGUUUAGGGUGCAGCCAAGUUUCAGAAAAACCGAUAGUGAGGAAAGUCCAGCAGUGCCCAUGCCUAGUGGUGGUGAGCAGCCACCUGCAUAUUAUAGAUCUCAAGGACAUAAAGAUGGUCAAUCUUAGGUCUUCAAACAUGGUCCAGACCUUUGGAUUGUGUUCCAUAUGCAAGGAUGAUACAGUAGUCCCUGUCAAAGCGUCCAUUGUUUGCAGACUGGAGAACCGCUGUAUGAAGAUGAAAGCAGCAUGUUUGAAAUGAGGCGAUCCGCUUCAGUGUCUCCUGGAAAGCCUCCAUGUAUUUUUGGAAUGUGGACACUCAUGUGAUAAACUACUUUUUGUGUUAAUUCCCAGAAUUCGUAUCCCCUAUUUUUCCACUGAAAUGUCAUCAUUUUGUGAUUUUGUAGAAAGUAUGAAAUAACUUUUUUUCUCAGAUAAACGAUAUAAAGUUAAGUAAAAAGUGACACAUUUUUAAUGGUAUAUCACAAAGUCAGUACCUCAUGAAACAUAUUUGGAGUUUUGACCUUCUCUUCCAACCCAUAAAUUACAACUUCAUGAAAUUUAUUUAUAAUAAUCAUUAUAAACAUAACAUUUUCUCUAAAACCUUCAAACUCGAUAAUUACUAUUCAAACUAAAAAUCAUAAAAUGAGAUAAAUUAUUAAGUAUCUUACUGAUUUGUGAAAAGUUACAGUUUCAUAUUUGGAAAUGUAAAAACAAAUCAGUUAGGUCGAGAAUAAACUGAAAACACCCAGAAGGAUUUGGUAAAUAAUUAUCAACGAAAAAUCCUAGAAUAAAAGUCUUUCAAAAUUGUUGUAUUUUUUCUGUGUAAAAUU
rnacentral:lncRNA from 1 species